AGUUUGGACUUAGCUGGACAGUAAGCAACAUUUACAGAACUGUAAAUUGCUAUCUUGUUUUUGGGAAAUGCUAACAAGUAGCAACAAUAUAAGGUGGUAUACUUUUGCAGUAAAAUCAUCAAAGAUCAGAAUAUAAGAUCAGAAAAAGAUAUUGCAAAACCAACAGAAGGCCCGUUAAUAACCAGAGCCCCGUUCAGAAAACUUUAAAGCUCCUCUAGUAGCUUGAGGACCAGUCAUAAGCACUCCCAACUCUGGGCAUGCCACCUUCUUUCUUAGUCUCUGCAUCCACCUUGAAAGU
rnacentral:misc_RNA from 1 species